rnacentral:lncRNA from 1 species
UAAGGACAUACAAAAUCCUCUGGUGCUCCAACACGAUCUUCAACUUUCGAUACCAGCUAUCAAAGUUGGGUCCGGUGAGGUUGUCGCUAUCCAACAGCGAACGGAGGGAUAGUGUGUUGGGUAUAACUGAAAGGAGAAAAUAUUAACCUAUUAGUAUAUGAAUUAUUUUUUUAAUCUUGAAGACAUAGACUUUAGUCUAAAGAUCCUCUCACUAU